ensembl:lncRNA
UAAUGUUCAUGACCCAGGCUGAUAAAGGGGAUCUGGGUUUCUCUCUGCAUUUCCAUUCAUCACUAUAAAUCUGCAUGUACCCAUGUAAGUAUGCAAGCUUUAUGUCACUCAUCAGAGUAAUUAAGGUUUUGAAUUCUGAAUGUAGUUUUUUUUCUUCUUCUUCGGUUUUAUUUCCAGACUAAAGACAUGCUGGUAGCAUCAGCAGUGGAGUGAGAAUUAAUCCUACUAAUGGUGAGUGCCUUGCCUUUCAGCAAACCAGCUAAGACUAAUUGCUGAACAAUACCACAUCUAAUUAAUAUUCAAGAGCCAGGCUGAUAAGGUUAAUAAAGGAGGUCCAUGUAACCUGGAGAAAGUCAUCUGUUCACAUUCCCAUUCAUCUCUAUAAACCUGCAUGUUUCCCUCCACAAGAGGAACAGGAGCCAAAGCUCAGCACGGUGUGAGAAGGUUGCCCUCAGGCAAGCAUGAGACUGGCCUUGGUAAUUGGCACCAGUGAACGAGAGGGUCCUGGCACGACUCCGAAAACCAGAGGAAUGUAUGCAUUCUGUCCAGCUUCAGGCAGAGGAGUUAAUAGAACCUCGUGUGAAUCAGCGUGUCUCCAGUCUACACUAUCAUUAGCCCUGGGGUGGGCCAGAGGGAAAGCAAGGGACUGUGGUGCAUCUCUUUUCAUUUACCUUUUUUUUUUUUGUUUACCUCACCCAUCUAUUCUCUCUUCAUGAGUCAUUAUUCCCCAUCUGCAGACACAUACAGUAGCUGGAGUGACGGUUGUUGUAUGGGCAUGCACAGAAAAUGAUCAAUACAAUAUUGUCACCAAACACAUCAUUCUUCAGUUGGGUUUACUCAAGCCAUCCGCUCUGUCACUUCUCAGUUUUCGGGUUUCUCUGCUACCUACAUUGCAUUCAUUCCACUCUGCCUUUAUUCAUAUUUGAAAUGCCAUUGUUGAAAUUAUUCUCUUCACUGGCAUGUUUAUUCAGGGACAAUAUGGGAAGGAGACGAACCACUCAGAAAAAUUAAUGUAAGAAUAUUGCACGUGUAGUGAUGGAGCUUCUGCCUUUUGAUGGAGGGGUGGGUGGUAUGACCAAAUUAAUUAAUGCUAUGAGUAAUUUAUUAUUUUUAUAAAUAUAGUGUGAUUUAAGAUUUUGACCAUAUAUACACAGAACUGUUCUAAAGUUUUUUUAUUAUUAUUAUUAUUAUUUCACCAAAGCUGCAUUAAAUCAAAAUGAAUUUAAUCAAAAUACAGUAAUAUUGUGAAAUAUUAUUACGGUUCUGUUUGAAUGUAUUUUAAAAUAUAUUUGAAUGUAUUUUAUUUAUUUGAUGGAAGAAUUUUCUACAGCCAUUCCAGUCUUCAGUGUCAUAUGAUCCUUCAGAAAUCAUUCUUUGGUGCUCAAGAAAUAUUUCCUAAUUGUUGAAAACAGUUGUGCUGCUUAAUAUUUUUG